rnacentral:rRNA from 1 species
AGUCGACGAGGUAGCAAUACCUAGUGGCGGACGGGUGAGUAACGCGUGGGAAUCUGCCUUUGGAUGGGGGAUAACGGGUCGAAAGACUCGCUAAUACCGCAUAUGACGAAAGUUGAAAGGAGUAAUCCGUCUAAAGAUGAGCCCGCGUCCGAUUAGCUAGUUGGUAGAGUAAAAGCCUACCAAGGCGACGAUCGGUAGCUGGUCUGAGAGGAUGAUCAGCCACAAUGGGACUGAGACACGGCCCAUACUCCUACGGGAGGCAGCAGUGGGGAAUUUUACGCAAUGGGCGAAAGCCUGACGUAGCGACACCGCGUGAGCGAAGAAGCCCCUUGGGGUGUAAAGCUCUGUCAGCUGGAACGAAAAAAAUGACGGUACCAGCAGAGGAAGCAUCGGCUAACUACGUGCCAGCAGCCGCGGUAAGACGUAGGAUGCAAGCGUUGUCCGGAUUUAUUGGGCGUAAAGAGUUCGUAGGUGGUUUGUUAAGUUUGGUGUUAAAGAUUGGGGCUCAACCCUGAAACUGCACUGAAUACUGGCAGACUCGAGUGUGGUAGAGGCUAGUGGAAUUCCCAGUGUAGCGGUGAAAUGCGUAGAUAUUGGGAAGAACACCGGUGGCGUAGGCGACUAGCUGGGCCAUAACUGACACUGAGGAACGAGAGCCAGGGGAGCGAAUGGGAUUAGAUACCCCAGUAGUCCUGGCCGUAAACGAUGGAUACUAGGCGUAUCGGGUAUCGACCCCUGAUGUGCCGCAGCUAACGCGAUAAGUAUCCCGCCUGAGUAGUACGGCCGCAGGGUUGAAACUCAAAGGAAUUGACGGGGGCCCGCACAAGCGGUGGAACAUGUGGUUUAAUUCGAAGCAACGCGAGACCUUACCAGGGCUUGACAUGCUAGGAACUUUAGGAACUAGAGGGUGCCCGCAAGGGAGCCUACACACAGUGGUGCAUGGCUGUCGUCAGCUCGUGUCUGGAGAUGUUGGUUAGUCCCGCAACGAGCGCAACCCCGAUGU